rnacentral:rRNA from 1 species
ACUCCUACGGGAGGCAGCAGUGGGGAAUUUUGGACAAUGGGCGCAAGCCUGAUCCAGCAAUGCCGCGUGCAGGAAGAAGGCCUUCGGGUUGUAAACUGCUUUUGUACGGAACGAAACGGUCCUGGUUAAUACCUGGGGCUAAUGACGGUACCGUAAGAAUAAGCACCGGCUAACUACGUGCCAGCAGCCGCGGUAAU